rnacentral:rRNA from 1 species
GACGAACGCUGGCGGCGUGCCUAAUACAUGCAAGUAGAACGCACAGUUUAUACCGUAGCUUGCUACACCAUAAACUGUGAGUUGCGAACGGGUGAGUAACGCGUAGGUAACCUGCCUGGUAGCGGGGGAUAACUAUUGGAAACGAUAGCUAAUACCGCAUAAUAUUGAUUAUUGCAUGAUAAUUGAUUGAAAGAUGCUAUUGCAUCACUACCAGAUGGACCUGCGUUGUAUUAGCUAGUAGGUGAGGUAACGGCUCACCUAGGCGACGAUACAUAGCCGACCUGAGAGGGUGAUCGGCCACACUGGGACUGAGGCACGGCCCAGACUCCUACGGGAGGCAGCAGUAGGGAAUCUUCGGCAAUGGACGAAAGUCUGACCGAGCAACGCCGCGUGAGUGAAGAAGGUUUUCGGAUCGUAAAGCUCUGUUGUAAGAGAAGAACGGGUGUGAGAGUGGAAAGUUCACACUGUGACGGUAUCUUACCAGAAAGGGACGGCUAACUACGUG